rnacentral:tRNA from 7 species
ACAGCUGUGUUUGAAAUGGGGACUGCCCUCAAGGAGCUUACAAUCUAGCUGGGGGUAGAUGACUUGCACUUGAACACAACUAGACUGUGAGCUUCUAGAGGGCAGGGGCCUUACCCUAGUCAUCUCUCU